rnacentral:rRNA from 1 species
GACACUGUGUGUUGUUGGGUAGGGGAGCGUUCUGUAAGCCUGUGAAGGUGUGCUGUGAGGCAUGCUGGAGGUAUCAGAAGUGCGAAUGCUGACAUAAGUAACGAUAAAGCGGGUGAAAAGCCCGCUCGCCGGAAGACCAAGGGUUCCUGUCCAACGUUAAUCGGGGCAGGGUGAGUCGACCCCUAAGGCGAGGCCGAAAGGCGUAGUCGAUGGGAAACAGGUUAAUAUUCCUGUACUUGGUGUUACUGCGAAGGGGGGACGGAGAAGGCUAUGUUGGCCGGGCGACGGUUGUCCCGGUUUAAGCGUGUAGGCUGGUUUUCCAGGCAAAUCCGGAAAAUCAAGGCUGAGGCGUGAUGACGAGGCACUACGGUGCUGAAGCAACAAAUGCCCUGCUUCCAGGAAAAGCCUCUAAGCAUCAGGUAACAUCAAAUCGUACCCCAAACCGACACAGGUGGUCAGGUAGAGAAUACCAAGGCGCUUGAGAGAACUCGGGUGAAGGAACUAGGCAAAAUGGUGCCGUAACUUCGGGAGAAGGCACGCUGAUAUGUAGGUGAAGUCCCUCGCGGAUGGAGCUGAAAUCAGUCGAAGAUACCAGCUGGCUGCAACUGUUUAUUAAAAACACAGCACUGUGCAAACACGAAAGUGGACGUAUACGGUGUGACGCCUGCCCGGUGCCGGAAGGUUAAUUGAUGGGGUCAGCGCAAGCGAAGCUCUUGAUCGAAGCCCCGGUAAACGGCGGCCGUAACUAUAACGGUCCUAAGGUAGCGAAAUUCCUUGUCGGGUAAGUUCCGACCUGCACGAAUGGCGUAAUGAUGGCCAGGCUGUCUCCACCCGAGACUCAGUGAAAUUGAACUCGCUGUGAAGAUGCAGUGUACCCGCGGCAAGACGGAAAGACCCCGUGAACCUUUACUAUAGCUUGACACUGAACAUUGAGCCUUGAUGUGUAGGAUAGGUGGGAGGCUUUGAAGUGUGGACGCCAGUCUGCAUGGAGCCGACCUUGAAAUACCACCCUUUAAUGUUUGAUGUUCUAACGUGGACCCGUGAUCCGGGUUGCGGACAGUGUCUGGUGGGUAGUUUGACUGGGGCGGUCUCCUCCUAAAGAGUAACGGAGGAGCACGAAGGUUGGCUAAUCCUGGUCGGACAUCAGGAGGUUAGUGCAAUGGCAUAAGCCAGCUUGACUGCGAGCGUGACGGCGCGAGCAGGUGCGAAAGCAGGUCAUAGUGAUCCGGUGGUUCUGAAUGGAAGGGCCAUCGCUCAACGGAUAAAAGGUACUCCGGGGAUAACAGGCUGAUACCGCCCAAGAGUUCAUAUCGACGGCGGUGUUUGGCACCUCGAUGUCGGCUCAUCACAUCCUGGGGCUGAAGUAGGUCCCAAGGGUAUGGCUGUUCGCCAUUUAAAGUGGUACGCGAGCUGGGUUUAGAACGUCGUGAGACAGUUCGGUCCCUAUCUGCCGUGGGCGCUGGAGAACUGAGGGGGGCUGCUCCUAGUACGAGAGGACCGGAGUGGACGCAUCACUGGUGUUCGGGUUGUCAUGCCAAUGGCACUGCCCGGUAGCUAAAUGCGGAAGAGAUAAGUGCUGAAAGCAUCUAAGCACGAAACUUGCCCCGAGAUGAGUUCUCCCUGACCCUUUAAGGGUCCUGAAGGAACGUUGAAGACGACGACGUUGAUAGGCCGGGUGUGUAAGCGCAGCGAUGCGUUGAGCUAACCGGUACUAAUGAACCGUGAGGCUUAACCUU